CCUACGGUGUGCUGCAGUAGGGAAUCUUCCACAAUGGGCGAAAGCCUGAUGGAGCAACGCCGCGUGGGUGAAGAAGGUCUUCGGAUCGUAAAACCCUGUUGUUAGCGAAGAAAGUGCGUGAGAGUAACUGUUCACGUUUCGACGGUAUCUAACCAGAAAGCCACGGCUAACUACGUGCCAGCAGCCGCGGUAAUACGUAGGUGGCAAGCGUUAUCCGGAUUUAUUGGGCGUAAAGGGAACGCAGGCGGUCUUUUAAGUCUGAUGUGAAAGCCUUCGGCUUAACCGGAGUAGUGCAUUGGAAACUGGGAGACUUGAGUGCAGAAGAGGAGAGUGGAACUCCAUGUGUAGCGGUGAAAUGCGUAGAGAUCAGGAGGAACACCAGUGGCGAAGGCGGCUUACUGGACUGUAACUGACGUUGAGGCUCGAAAGCGUGGGGAGCAAACAGGAUUAGAUACCCGAGUAGUC
rnacentral:rRNA from 1 species